rnacentral:rRNA from 1 species
GCCUAAAGCGUCCGUAGCCGGCUAUGUUAGUUUUCGGUUAAAUCCAUGUGCUCAACACAUGGGCUGCCGAAAAUACUGUAUAGCUAGGGAGUGGGAGAGGUAGACGGUACUCGGUAGGAAGGGGUAAAAUCCUUUGAUCUAUCGAUGACCACCAGUGGCGAAGGCGGUCUACCAGAACACGUCCGACGGUGAGGGAUGAAAGCUGGGGGAGCAAACCGGAUUAGAUACCCGGGUAGUCCCAGCUGUAAACUAUGCAAACUCAGUGAUGCAUUGGCUUGUGGCCAAUGCAGUGCCGCAGAGAAGUCGUUAAGUUUGCCGCCUGGGAAGUACGUACGCAAGUAUGAAACUUAAAGGAAUUGGCGGGGGAGCACCACAAGGGGUGAAGCCUGCGGUUCAAUUGGAGUCAACGCCAGAAAUCUUACCCGGAGAGACAGCAGAAUGAAGGUCAAGCUGAAGACUUUACCAGACAAGCUGAGAAGUGGUGCAUGGCCGUCGCCAGCUCGUGCCGUGAGGUGUCCUGUUAAGUCAGGUAACGAGCGAGAUCCUUGCCUCUAGUUGCCACCAUUACUCUCAGGAGUAGUGGGGCGAAUUAGCGGGACUGCCGCAGUUAAUGCGGAGGAAGGAGGGGGCCACGGCAGGUCAGUAUGCCCCGAA